rnacentral:rRNA from 1 species
AACGAACGCUGGCGGCAGGCUUAACACAUGCAAGUCGAGCGCCCCGCAAGGGGAGCGGCGGACGGGUGAGUAACGCGUAGGAAUCUGCCCCAAAGUCGGGAAUAACACACGGAAACGUGUGCUAAAGCCCGAUACACCCGAGAGGGGAAAGUUUAUCGCUUUGGGAUGAGCCUGCGUCGGAUUAGCUUGUUGGUGAGGUAAUGGCUCACCAAGGCAACGAUCCGUAGCUGGUCUGAGAGGAUGACCAGCCACACUGGGACUGAGACACGGCCCAGACUCCUACGGGAGGCAGCAGUGGGGAAUAUUGGACAAUGGGGGCAACCCUGAUCCAGCCAUGCCGCGUGAGUGAUGAAGGCCUUAGGGUUGUAAAGCUCUUUUACCCGGGACGAUAAUGACUGUACCGGGAGAAUAAGCCCCGGCUAACUUCGUGCCAGCCGCCGCAGUAA